CCCUUUUCCGGUUGAUCCUGCCGGAGGCCACUGCUAUAGGGGUUCGAUUAAGCCAUGCGAGUCGAGAGGUGCAAGACCUCGGCAUACUGCUCAGUAACACGUGGACAACCUACCCUGAGGAGGGGGAUAACCCCGGAAAACUGGGGAUAAUACCCCAUAGGCCAGGGAUGCUGGAAUGCCUCCUGGUUGAAAGGUCCGCCGCCUCAGGAUGGGUCUGCGGCCGAUUAGGUUGUUGUUGGGGCAACGGCCCAACAAGCCAUUGAUCGGUACGGGUUGUGGGAGCAAGAGCCCGGAGAUGGAUUCUGAGACACGAAUCCAGGCCCUACGGGGCGCAGCAGGCGCGAAAACUUUACAAUGCGAGAAAUCGUGAUAAGGGAACCCCGAGUGCCCGUAAAUUCGGGCUGUCCAUCAGUGUAAAAAACUAUGAAKAAAGGGCCGGGCAAGACCGGUGCCAGCCGCCGCGGUAAUACCGGCGGCUCGAGUGGUGGCCGCUAUUAUUCGCUUAAAGCGUCCGUAGCUGGGUUGUUAAGUCUCCUGGGAAAUCCACCGGCUCAACCGGGUGCCCGUUCGGGAGAAACUGGCAACCUAGGGACCGGGAGAGGUGAGAGGUACUCCAGGGGUAGGAGUGAAAUCCUGUAAUCCUUGGGGGACCACCUGUGGCGAAGGCGUCUCACUAGAACGGCUCCGACAGUGAGGGACGAAAGCUGGGGGAGCAAACCGGAUUAGAUACCCGGGUAGUCCCAGCUGUAAACGAUGCGCGUUAGGUGUAUCGGUGACCACGAGUCACCGAGGUGCCGAAGGGAAACCGUGAAACGUGCCGCCUGGGAAGUACGGUCGCAAGGCUGAAACUUAAAGGAAUUGGCGGGAAGGGC
rnacentral:rRNA from 1 species